rnacentral:rRNA from 1 species
AGCAGUAGCCACGGGAAUACGAAGGGGGCUAGCGUUGUUCGGAAUUACUGGGCGUAAAGCGCACGUAGGCGGAUAUUUAAGUCAGGGGUGAAAUCCCGCAGCUCAACUGCGGAACUGCCUUUGAUACUGGGUAUCUUGAGUAUGGAAGAGGUUAGUGGAAUUGCGAGUGUAGAGGUGAAAUUCGUAGAUAUUCGCAGGAACACCAGUGGCGAAGGCGGCUAACUGGUCCAUAACUGACGCUGAGGUGCGAAAGCGUGGGGAGCAAACAGGAUUAGAUACCCGGGUAGUCCCUGUCUCUUAUAC